AACGAACGCUGGCGGCAUGCCUAACACAUGCAAGUCGAACGAGACCUUCGUGUCUUGUGGCGCUCGUGUGCGUAACGCCUGGGAACCUGCCCUUAGGUUCCGAAUCCCUCCCCUAGAGGGGUGCUCAUACCGGUUAAUGUCUUCGCACCAAAGAUUUAUCGCCUUUGGAUGGGCCCGCGUUGGAUUAGCUAGUUGGUAGGGUAAAAGCCUACCAAGGCGACGAUGCAUAGCUGGUCGGAGAGGAUGAUCAGCCACACUGGCACUGAGACACGGCCCAGACUCGGACGGGAGGCAGCAGUGGGGAAUAUUGGACAAGGGGCGAAAGCCUGAUACAGCAAUGCGGCGUGAGUGAUGAAGGCCUUAGGGUUGUAAAGCUCUUUUACCCGGGAUGAUAAUGACAGUACCGGGAGAAUAAGCUCCGGCUAACUCCGUG
rnacentral:rRNA from 1 species